UGUCGUAAUCCGGAAAUAAAAUUUGAAAUAUAUAAAGUCAAUUGCCAUAAAUAUUGGUAAUGUAACGAGGAUUUUUGUUUGCUUUAUCUUGUUUUUGACUUCGUAAGGGUUUGGUGAAAAAAGGUAUGGACUCAAAGCGACUCCUGGUAAAUACGAAUAAGCGAAACACAGAUCUCACCCAAAGCAUCGAGGACGACCCUUUGAUUGAUGGGCCGCUCAUAUCCAGGAACGCUUUGGAGUCGACCAUCAAGAAAGAGUUUCAGAAACUACCCACUACGUGGGGAGCCGUUUUACUGACCGUGUUACAUGUGGCGUACGUGAGCGUGUGCACGGCCCUGGCUGUGGUGUGUUGGUUAACCGAUGCUCACUCUGCGGAGUGCACAGCCGCAUUAAGCGGGGUGGAGUCGAGGACCCUGGUGUUGCUCUUGAAGGUGGGCCUAUGGAUACUGGUCUUUUUCUUUGAGAGAUGUGUACAGUAUCACCACAGCGCAGUGAGGCAGAGAGGAUACCUGCAGUUUUACAGAAAAACCGCGAAGCUCAAGCACCUGCCAUUACUCGUACACUCAGCAGGUAACGCUGCAGUGCUGAUGGUAAUCGCGCUCUCCUCUAUGUUGGAUAACAAAGUGAAGAAUCUUUCCGUGUAUCUGCUGCUCGGCAUCAUCUGCGUGGAACUAGUUGCAUCCGUUACAUGUCUUCUGGUGUAUGCAGGAUCACACACCAGGCUGUAUUACAAUCAGCGAGGUCUCUCUCUCUCCCUCUCCCUCUCUCUCAGACGUUCUUCCUACUCUCCUUUUCCUUUUAUUCCCAUCUUCUGUGUUUUUUUUUUUUUUUUUGUGCUUCAUCUUGUGUGAGGUAUGUAAAGCAUGUAAGAGAAACAAAGGUAAGAAUAAAAGGAGUUGGAUCUGAGAUUGUGACGUCCAUUUAUUUAUUUUUUUUGCCCAAGGCAUCCUGAGGCUACCCCACCCUAAUAAACCAUAGCAUUGUCUUACUAUUGACCCUCUCUCACGCACACACACUCUCUCAUAUCAGCACUUGGAUUCCUUGGAUGAUUAGUGAACUGGAGAUCAACCAUGCGUUGAGGCACACCCUGUUAAGUUUGGUGCAGUUUAAAUGAAGCCCGCUGACAGAUUAUCCAAGUGUGUGUGUGUGUGUUUGCAGAUUAAGCUGUUUGUGUUUUUCCUUGCCACACAGUACGAGUGAAAUUAAAGUGUGUUCGGUUGCAACAGGAGCGCAAUCUGAUCGAUCACCUAAAUGAUUUCGGGACAGCUCCAGUUUAUUGUGCUAAUGAGCAGUCCCUAUCCAUUUACUGUACCCAUCUCUCCGCAUCCGUUUAUAUCCCUCUGUCGAUCUCUCUCUGCCUCUUCUUAAAGGAAGGUGCAGUUAGGCCAAAAGUCGUGCUCCAGGUGCUUUGAUGUUGCAUUUCUCUCUGUUUCUCUUUCUCUCUGCUUCUCUUCAUUUGAACAUGAAUACAGCGUUCUGCAUGGGCCGUAUGCCACCUCUGCACUUCAAAGCUGCUUUAGGGCCCUUCAAAGGGAGCGAGGGAGGGGAGAUGGAUUUGUAUUGUCUGACAGGGAAGAUGCGGUCCUGUUGUUGGGUUUCGGAUUGAACAGGUACAGAGGCAGCACAAGCUCGUUUUACGUUCAAGUCUAGCAGAAAGGGAGUGAGACGGACAGGUGGGAGAGGGAGAAAAUGGAAACUCUAAAUGAAAUCUGUAUGUUCUAAUUCAGCAAGGAAAAUAGUAGGGCGGGGCGAUGUAUCGCUAUUGUGAUAAGUGAUUACGUGAUACACUUUUCUGAGAUAUCGUUGGUAUGGUAAUAUGUUUCUUUAAAUGUUUUUAAUAAGUAGAAGAAGAAGAAAAAUAGGAGAGAACUUGUUUACUUGAAAGCAGUUGUUAAUGCUGUCGGUAGUAGGGCUGGGCCAUAUGAUGAUAUAAUAUCGAUAUUGUAAUACAGUGCCCUCCACUAAUAUUGGUGCUCUUGGUAAAUAUGAGCAAAGAAGGCUGUGAAUAUUGUUUAACCUUUUGAUAUUUUUGUUUAAAAAAUUCACAAAAAUACUCUGCUUUCAUUGAUGAACAAUUGCAAACGCAACACAGGUUUCUAAAAAAAAAACAAAAAAAAAACAACAACUUUUAAAUAUGUGUGCAACCCCUGUGAAUUCAUAUGAGGAAAAAUAUAUUUGAAGUAUAUUCUCAUUGAUAUUCUAAAUUUUUUAGUACACCUGGGUGUCUAGGAACAGGAAAUUGUUCAAUCAGAACUUCCUGUUUCACAGGGAUAUAAAUAUGAGGUAACACAUAGGCCAAAUUCCCUUAGUCAGUGGGUUAGACCAAGGAAUAUAGCUGUGAUGUGCGGCAAAAGGUUGUUGAGCUUCAUAAAAUGGGAAGUGUCUAUAAGAAAAUAGCACAAGCAUUGAAAAUGCCCAUUUCCACCAUCAGGGCAAUAAUUAAGAAGUUCCAGUCAACUGGAAAUGUUAUGAAUCAACCUGGAAUUGGACGUGUGUCUAUAUCGUCUCAACGCACUGUGAAGAGGACGGGUCGAGUGGCCAAAAAAUCUCCCAAGGAUCACAGCUGGAGAAUUGCAGAAGUUAGUUGCGUCUUGGGUUCAGAAAAUCUCCAAAACUACAAUCUGAAGUCACCGACAUCACCACAAGUUGUUCGGAAGGGUUUCAAGAAAAACGCCUCUAAUCUCAUCCAAAAACAAACUCGAGCGUGUUCAGUUUGCCAGACACUACUGGAACUUCAAAUGGGAUCGGGGUCUAUGGUCAGAUGAAACCAAAAUAGAGCUUUUUGGUAAUAAACACCAGAGGUGGUUUUGACACACACAGAGAGGUAGCCGUGUGGAAAAGUACCUCAUGCCCACGGUUAAAUAUGGUGGUGGAUCUUUAAUGUUUUGGGGCUGUUUUUCUACCAGAGGACCUGGACAUUUUGUUAGGAUACAUGGCAUCAUGGACUCGAUCAAAUAUCAACAGAUAUUAAAUGAAAACCUGACUGCCUCUGACAGAAAGCUUCAAAUGGGCCGUGGCUGGAUCUUCCAGCAGGACGAUGAUCCAAAACAUUCAUCAAAAUCAACACAAAAUCAAGGUCCUGCCCUGGCCAUCGCAGUCCCCUGACUUGAACCCCACAGAAAACCUGUGGGGUGAACUGAAGAGGAGAGUCCACCAGCGUGGACCUCGAAAUGUGAAGGAUCUGGAGAGAUUCCGUAUGAAUGAACGGUCUCAGAUCCCUCGCCAUGUAUUCUCCAACCUCCUCAGGCAUUUUUACAAUUAAAACAAAACAAAAAAAAUGAAUGAACAAAAACUUAAAGUUUAAGACAAAUGAUUUCGUUGUUAUAAAUAACAGCCUUUUUUUUUUUAUGUAACGUUACUGUAUUGAUGGCAGUUUUGUGAGCAAACCUAUAUACCGCCAUGUCUUGUAGAAAUUCAAUUCAAUGCAAAAAGAAAUGCCUUCGAGAAUCAUGAUCUGAUUCUUUUUGUCAUAUCGCCCACUCCUAGUCAGUAGGAAUAUUACUGUAGGUGUAACCCAUAUUCCAACUUUAAGCUCUUACGAUGAGACGGCCGUAUCCAACAUUAAAUCAAUAGAGUAAACAGCAUUUCAAGUUAUUUUCACUUUUUAUGAAGAAAUUUUAUAUAAUCCAUGUGCUACCUAAGCUAUCUAAUCAAUAUUGAAGUGAACAGGAAACUCACCUGUUUAUAGAAAGGUGUGUGUGUGUGUGUGCGCACAUAUGUGCAUGAUUGGGGUUAUUAUGACCGUGUUUAUAUCUCUGACCGAGGGAAGCACUACUCUUUAACAGUGAUAUGAGGAAUGUGACACAUACAGAGUGCUCCAUCUGCCGGUCUUGUUUUCCUUAAAGAGCAUUCCUCAGCUCUUGUGGAUGUGUGGUGACAGAAGUGUCUAAUUACCCUUAAUAAACCUCUCCACAUUAAACUGACACGGUUCUGCUCACUGCUGAGACGGAAUGCUGCUGCGAGGGCGAAAAAUAAAGGUAUUUUAAGAUGUUUCGACAAAUAAAGUUUGUGUGUGUGAGAAAGAGAGAGAGAGGGAGAGAGAGUACAUCAAGUAUGUUGAAGGUGAUGUCUGUUCACUCUAGUGGAUGGGCCAUUGCAGGCCAUUUCCUCCAGGUGAAGAAGUUUACUGUGUGUGAGAGAGAUCGAGAGAAAGACACAAUCUCUGAUAAUUAAUGCUCAUCAGAUGAGGUUUACGGUAUCUCUGUAAUUUUUUUUUCUUUGCUACAAAGCCACACGUUUCCUGGUGCUUCAUGCCAAGAUUUAAACACACAAACUUUGUCCUAUGCACACGAACACAAUGGGUGUUUGUACUUACUACAGUUAAAUGCUUUACACUUGCAACUGUAAUUUGUACUACUAAAUACCUCAUAGAGUAUCGAGUCUUUUGUAGCUUCUCAAGUCGGCUAAAGAGAGAAUGGGAAAAGUAAGAAUACUUGAUGAUGGGGAUCUCAUAAUCAUUUUUAUGUUUGUGUGUUGCAGUGCGCGUGUCAAGGUUUAACAGGGAAAGCUUGAGACCAGAUGUCACCGAAGACGAGAGAUCUUGCACCUACUCCGCCACUGCCAGCGACACGCACACGGAGAUGGGCUUCAGAGAUGGCUCCAAUCUGGAAGAUGUGGUGGA